rnacentral:rRNA from 1 species
UACGUAGGGUGCGAGCGUUGUCCGGAAUUAUUGGGCGUAAAGAGCUUGUAGGCGGUUUGUUGCGUCGGCUGUGAAAUCCCGAGGCUCAACCUCGGGUCUGCAGUCGAUACGAGCAAACUAGAGUGUUGCAGGGGAGACUGGAAUUCCUGGUGUAGCGGUGAAAUGCGCAGAUAUCAGGAGGAACACCGGUGGCGAAGGCGGGUCUCUGGGCAACAACUGACGCUGAGGAGCGAAAGCGUGGGGAGCGAACGGG